GACUUGGGUGUUGCUGCUUCACUGUGGCUCGCCUCAAAUGGAGUAGUGCAACUCUUGGUUGGACAUAGUACGGCGUGAUAAGUAUCUUCGCCGGCGCCUCGCUAGAGGGUGGCCGAUCGGGAGCUCUGUGCUUCAAACCGUCUUCGGACAACAUCUGACAACUUGACCUCAAAUCGAGUAGGACUACCCGCUGAACUUAA
rnacentral:misc_RNA from 1 species